CUUAAAUUUUGGUUUAUAUCAUUAUUUAAAAUAAUAUUAUAUGAGUAAAAGAAUUGAACUUUAUCCACAAAAAAGUACUGAGAAGGAAAGUCUUGUCAAUUUUAAAGAAUUUAUUUAUUAUACCUUUUGUAUCAGGGUUUAUUCAAUUUUGACCACUAUUGUCAAGUCCCGAAAUAAGGUGAUUUAUGUUAAUUAAAGAUGAUUGUUUCAUAACUCUCUUAAAGAUUAACAUCGGUGUAAAAAAUAUUUCGUACCUAUAUAUCUGGUUGGCAGAAGACUCCUUUAGGGUACUCCGGAAGGAAGAUUUUCUAGGGGACGAGCUCUAGAAAAAAUUAUAUCAAAUUAUUACCAGUGAUAUGAAUAGGCUUAAAAGUUGCCAGGGUGUAAUAACCAGGGUCGUUUAAAUAAUAAUUUAAAGUUGAUUAAUUGAAUCUAGCCGAUGCUUAUUAUUAACAUUGAGCAGUCAUAAUGAUAAAAUUAGUAUAUGUAUAAAAAUGCAAUAGAAUCUAUUCCAAAAAUUUUGGAAGGAAUUCGGCAAAACUUGCCUCCGC
rnacentral:rRNA from 1 species